AGUGAACGCUGGCGGUAGGCCUAACACAUGCAAGUCGAACGGCAGCACAGUAAGAGCUUGCUCUUACGGGUGGCGAGUGGCGGACGGGUGAGGAAUACAUCGGAAUCUACUUUUUCGUGGGGGAUAACGUAGGGAAACUUACGCUAAUACCGCAUACGACCUACGGGUGAAAGCAGGGGAUCUUCGGACCUUGCGCGAUUGAAUGAGCCGAUGUCGGACUAGCUAGUUGGCGGGGUAAAGGUCCACCAAGGCGACGAUCCGUAGCUGGUCUGAGAGGAUGAUCAGCCACACUGGAACUGAGACACGGUCCAGACUCCUACGGGAGGCAGCAGUGGGGAAUAUUGGACAAUGGGCGCAAGCCUGAUCCAGCCAUACCGCGUGGGUGAAGAAGGCCUUCGGGUUGUAAAGCCCUUUUGUUGGGAAAGAAAAGCAGCAGGUUAAUACCCCGCUGUUCUGACGGUACCCAAAGAAUAAGCACCGGCUAACUUCGUG
rnacentral:rRNA from 1 species